CCAGUCGGCUGGAUGGCCGCUGUCCUUCGGGAUAGAGGAAAGUCCGGGCUCCACGGAGACACGGCGCCGGAUAAUGUCCGGCGGGGGCGACCCCAGGGAAAGCGCCACAGAAAGCAAACCGCCGCGGCCUUCGGGCUCGCGGUAAGGGUGAAAGGGUGCGGUAAGAGCGCACCGCUCGGGCGGCGACGUUCGAGGCAUGGCAAGCCCCGCCGGGAGCAAGACCGAAUAGGGGCGACUGGAAAUAGCGAUAUUUCCUGGCCCGUCUCCGGGUCGUCGCCCGGGUUGGUUGCUAGAGGCGGCGCGCAAGCGUCGUCCCAGAGGAAUGGCCAUCGCGCGUGGAAGGGGCGACCCGACCGCGCCAUACAGAACCCGGCUUAUAGGCCGACUGGCGAU
rfam:Methylosinus sp. R-45379 contig_4, whole genome shotgun sequence.